GGGAAGGGGCAGGAUUUGCUUAAGCAGGAUCCCUGGGCUGAGAGGAGUUCUUCAAAUCAAGUUCUUCUUUGAGGCAGACAUUUUACCAGUUAAACUUUAAACCCCAAUCUUUAUCCUAUCUUUCUCCAAAAGGCACGCUCUGUCUUCCUCCUAAUUAGCAUGAAAUUAUUCCUGUUUUCCUCAUUAGAAAUUGAGAUUGAUUUUUUUUAAAAGACAAAAUUCAUACCUCUGCUUAAUGUUUAUUUGCUUCAUUUAGAAGCAGUGCAUUUUCAUCAGAGAGACUAAAAAGCCCUGAGAGAUUCAGUAAAGAAGGACCAUGCAUGAGGGUCACAUGUUUAGGAGUCAGCCAGGCCUCCUGCUUGGGGACUCAAACCCAGCCAAGGCCUGCCGCAGGCCACCCACACAGUGCUAAGCCUGAGCACAUGAGGGCCGGUUCCCUUUGCGCAUUAGCUACGGCGUGGGUUCCUGGGAACAUCUGCACGGCCACAGCAAAAGCCUGCACUCCAAUUCUUUGAGCCAGAGCAGCAGAUAAGUGUUUGUUUUACUUUUCUUUUCAGGGAUCGAACUCAUGACCUCAUGCUUGCCAGGCAGGUGUGUGAGUGCUGAGCUAAAUCCCCAGCCUGGACUGCAUAUUUUAACAAGCUCUCAGAGCUCCCAUCAGAACUGUGUCUCAGAGAAGCUGAGCCCUCUUCCAGGCCCAGAAGUGGGGCUGACUGGCCCCAGGGACCUGCCAUAGCCCUGCCCAGGAAUGGAACUGUAAGAAAAUUUAGACCAAUGAACUGUGAGGGAAAAUCUGAUGGACACACUCUAGGAAAAGUUUCUUUUUUUCCUUAAAGUCCUGUGGAGGUUGGGGAGGGGUCUUCCUCAUUCUUUAAUACACGAUUCUGCAGAAUGUGA